CUGGAAGCUGGCGAGCUCCCGAACAGGCCCUAAGUCAGCCGAACCGGUACGGGAGAGAAAAAAAUUGCCCAGCCACGCACGUCCCGGCCUCCCAAUCUCAUCUCCACCGGCAGCGCAACACCACCUCCUACCCUGCCCUCACCGCGCGCCGCCGGACACACCCCGCCGUCGAGCGCCACCACCGCCUACCCUCCUCCCAUCGGGAUCCCCCCGAUCCAAAAAUCCAUCCACCCAGUCCUCUCCUUGAUUUCCAAAUCGAGCCUACCGGCAGCCUCCCUGCGCAGCUGUGCCCCCGCGCCUCUGCCUCACCGAGCGCCCGACCAGGCCGUCGUUCGUCACCCGCGGAUCUGGCCGCCCCUCACCUUCCCCAUGGGCUGCACCUCACAGCGCCGCCGCCCCUGCCAAGCUCCGCCGCUGGAGGAUGAAAUUCUGUCAAUGCCCACUGUCUUCAAGUAAUACUGUAAGUUCUGUCAAUGUAUACUCUGUCUUCAAGUAAUCGAUGUUGCUAGAAUACUUACUGUCGUGUGCACACCUUGAGAUCAUGGCCAGCACACAACUCAGGUCAUGGCUUGUUGCCUCAUAUAAACCUGCAUAAAUAUGCAAAAUUGUACUGCAGGUUGCAUGGGUAGCAGUGGAGAAUCCAGACGCUUGCUGUUGUCCCUUGCAGAGGUCCAGGAAAAAAAGUGUAGUGGUUCAGGAAAAACAGAGAGGAGCUGCUCUGUUAUUCCUUUAGUCAAUCUUUUGGCCUAUCUCCUUCUGUAUUAUGAUUUCCAUCUUGAGAGAAAAAAAGGAAAAACAUGUAAAGUUGUAUGUUUUUUUAUGUUUGCAAUUUUUUGUUUUGUGGAGAAUUAAAGGAUCGUGUAUGCUUGCCGUUGAAUCCAACUGUUUUUAGUUUUUUAGUGUCCAGGAAAAAAUCUUGGGAACAUUUGUCAUGCUAGCCACCUGACGCUCGGCAUAUCCUCUCCCUCGUGGCAUCCAGCUUUGCUGCAGGGACCAAAAGUUGGGGUCAAGAUCGAAGUCGGCUGAGCUAUUGGGUGGCUCUGAAGAUGUGUUUGUGUUAGAGAUUAGUUUACAUGCAAAACAAGCCUCAGCAUAUUUGAGAUGAUGGCUGUUGCUGCACGUGAAGAGUUGGUUAAUAUGAAGAAGUUCCUAAUUAACUGACUUGAGCCAUUUGCACAGAACCGGUGCUCUCCCGUUGCAACAUACGGGCAUUUGAUGAGAGAACGGACGUAAGCACAUUGACAUAAAUAUAUGCAGGAAGGAAUUAAAGGAGAGACUACACAACUCGGGUGACAAAGAGUUGUGCCUAUGGCCGAUUAAAUAGAACUAAAAAAAGUCUGCGUCUAUAGUGAGACACCUCGAGGAAAAAAGAUCGGAUGAUGAGAAAGGAAAAAGGAGAGAUUGGAUCGGGACAACGUACAACCUGGAUUCAGGUUUUAGCACACGAUGGACGAGCUGCAGGCCACGGCGGACGCUGGAGGCACAGGCCCAUCGCAGACAGGGGUAGGCCUGGGUGAAGUCCGGCAAGGUGUGUGUGUGUUGCAGAUAGAUGGAGGCACUGGGACGGGGCGGCAAGGUGUGUUUGUUGCAGAUAGAUGGAGGCACUGGGACGGGGCGGCAAGGUCCAAGACGACGGGUCACGAGAGCAGGUUGUGGUUGUCUGCAUAUAUAUGUAUUCCCCUCCGUUAACAACGGUUGGAUGAAGCUUUGGAGUACUAUAAACUUCCAGGGAAGGUAAAACCCAUCUUUGGCAUAUUUGUUUUCAGAGUAUUGAUGUUGGAGAUGAAGGGGAGCCUUGGCGCAGUGGUAAAGCUGCUGCCUUGUGACCAAGAGGUCACGGGUUCAAGUCCUGGAAACAGCCUCUUACAGAAAUGUAGGGAAAGGCUGCGUACUAUAGACCCAAAGUGGUCGGACCCUUCCCCGGACCCUGCGCAAGCGGGAGCUACAUGCACCGGGCUGCCCUUUUUUUUAGUAUUGAUGUUGGAGAUGACCUUAAGAUGAGAAAGACUAAAGAUUUGGUAAGCUGUCCAUACUGCCUCAAGGGGGGAAGUUUUUAUCACUGCUUUUUGGUUGUAUUUAUAUAAGAAGCAUGGAGGGAGCUGGAACUAAUUUGUGAUUUCUCCUGGCCAUUUUUUUCUUCUAAAAAGAGUAAGUUUCCCGGUGUUCAAACAUUGUAGAUCAGAAAUGUUCUUCAUCGAUGCCCAUCCCAAUUGCUAACAAUUCUUUUGCACACUCAGGUUGCCAAAUAUAGUACGAAGGAACUAUAGCAAGCGAAUUGUUGAGUUUGCCAAGCAUAAUGGCAGAAGAAGCACACCUAAUUUUGGCAGAUCAUAUAAAGAGAAUAUCGAGCAAAGAUGCUUUGAGAUUUACCCAUGACUAUAUGCGGUUCCUAUAAAGUCCUGUUGCAUGUUUAAUGAUUGCCACAAUAGUUUCUUUUCAUGCACCAGAGAAUUAUAUUUUUUGUAUCAGGUAAAUAAUUCUUUUCCCACUGUUAUUUUUCCAGAUCAAGAUCGAGAGAUAGACAAGGGGUAAUGGUAGCUCGUGCAGUGAUAGAGUGCUGGGGAGGCUGCCGGUGUCGUUGCCGAGUGCUGGGGAGGCUGCUGAACAAGUUUAUUUAUUUGUCGUGUGAAUUGUUCCACACUUCUGAUCAUCAUAUUGUAUGAUGAGCAGUUGGCCAUCUCUUAUUCUGUGGGGAUAUGGUCCGUUUGUAUUCUUCUAAUUGAUUCGGUUCACAAUUCUAGCCGAUGAAAUUUGGUCUACAUUUAUGUGUACGUAUGCUAUACUAUAUACUGGAACUUGUGCUUGCCCGUUAUAUGAUUAUACUACAAGUAGACAAAUGUAAAUGUCCAUAGUAAUAAACUUGUGGUCAUAGGACUACUAGCUUAAAGUUUGUUAGAUUAUGUAAAUGGGCAUUUUUGUUGUCUGCUCUUUAGGUUUCCAUAGCAUGAGGUGGUGCUCUUGCUUUUUAAAAACACAUAUAAACUGCCAUCUAUACUGAACAAUGGGGCUUCCUGUCUAAACUGGAGUAGUAAUUUGAGGCUGAAAGGACCAACAUUAGCAGCAAUAAUAUUAAUAUCCAUUAGAAGAGUUUUCUGCACUGAGCCCGUGGGUCUCACAAAGAUAUAAGAUAUAUAGAAUGUUGUAAAGAUCAGCUUACCUUCUCAUGCAAUGGAACAAUUGUGUGUCUUGAUCUUUUCCGUUUUCUUUGGUUUUGCAGCCUAGAAUUUUUAGGCACGCGCAUAUAGAUUGGAGCAUCUAAUAGUAGUUGAAAGUGUUUUUGAGUAAAAAUGCAACUAAUACUCAAUUUUCUAGGACUUGAUACAUCAUGGUCUUCUUGUGCCUUGUUGUUUGGUUGGUGUAGAAUCCCUCAGCUCUUACCAAGAGGCUCUAGCUUCGAACCUGACUCUUUUAGUAGUUGGAGUGUUGCACACAUGGAAUUGAUCGCAGGUUUAGAGAGGAAGCGAAGCAGCAACAGUUUGGGUUCAGAGAAGAUUAGGAGCAGCAGUUCAUUGGAGAAGGAGAGGUACAGCAACCGAGGGCAGCAGCAGAGAGCAGAAUCAGCAGGUCAGGGGCGGCAGCAGAGGAUCAGAAGCAGAGAUGAGUUCGAUUCAAUUGCCAUUGAUAAUGAUUGAGACUUGAGUUUGCACCACCCUUGUUUUACUAAAUAGUUUGUCCUUUUUCACUUGUGAUUAUGCACUAGAGAUUUGCAAGGAUGCAUUGGAUUCUUUUUAUACUGAUUUGAUGCACUCUGACUUUGGAAUGCGAACAAAUGUGAUCUUCAAUUGGCAUUGAUGAUUCAGACUUUA